AUAAUUAUAAUUGUUAUGUUACAUUAUUGUAUGCCACAGAGGUAACAAAUUUCCUUGUCAAAGUGCCUUUGACUAUAGCUGCCCUAAAACUUUUUGCCAUCCAUGGACAAUUGUUAUCUUGGUUUGAUCGGUUUUAUAAUCAGCUAUAAAAUGCUAACAGGUGCUUUUUAAUGCAGGUUUCUGAUAACUUUGGAGAUUGUGACAUCAGGAUAAAAGAAAACUUUCAGGACUCAUGGAGAGCUGAAAUGUUCAUGAAUGUCAAAUAGAACAGGAAUUAACUGCAUGGACUAAACUAACAGAAGUCCAAACUUUUAAUGAAUGAGUAUACUCCUAUGAACAACAUUUGGAUCAUAUUUGUUUCUCUCUGAUUUCCACAGAAUUUGGAAACUAUUUGAAUCAAACUGACUUAUGGAGCCAAUCAAAGCCCCUUGGAAAAACUGGCCUCAUACCUUUGUCUACAGAGUUCCUGACCUGUGAGUUUAUAGUUGACAUACGCAAAAGGAUUGGAUUAAUAGAAGGUACUUCACAAUUACCUCACAACUCUCAGAAGACAAAAGGAAUAUGACAAUGGACUCAUCAUUUUCAGGUAUUCAACCUUACUGAAUACAUAAUAUGCAGAGGGUCAAAAUCUGUACAGAAAUUGCUGAAUAUUGCUUUUUUUAUAAAAUAUCCCAAUUACUUUCUUUGAAGAAUGGCUAAUAUUAAUUAAUGUGUUAAUUUUUAUUAAUAGGCUAAUGAAAAAUAUUCAUUAUUUUAAUAUACCUAAAAGAGACAAAAAACAUUAAUUUUUAUUAUACUGUAAAAAAUGAAAUAUUAUUAAUGUUCCAUUGUCUUCACUUGGAUUGACUUAACUAAUUUAGGGUCUUGCUCAACAUUUAUCACCAAUAGCAGUCCCAGAAAAUAUGGUCACUUAAUAAGUUUUUAAAUUAAAUCUUAUACAAUGACUAAUGUAUACAAUUAAUGCAAUCAUCCUCUUUGCUAUUUUAAUUGCAAAAGUAUAUUUUAUGAGUCAAAAUUUAGGAUGAAAUAAAUCUUACCCAACAGAUUUUAUCAGAAAAACAAGGUACCCUAUUUCAGGCUUUUCAAUCGCCAGAAAUUAAUGGGAUCCAAAAUAGUAGCUAUAAGAACAAUAUAUAUGGUAGAAUAACAGAAAGUGAAUUGACCUGGAAGAGGCUAAAAAUGUCUUCUCUCAUUUUCCAACAUUCAAAAAAUAUCUCCUGCUAUGUAAUUCUGUAUUUAUGAUAUUCCUGAGAUUGUGGUUAAAAGACAAUAGACACAUUUCACAUGAGCAGUCAUGCUGAAUAAAGUAAUAAACAUUGUGAAAGCAAAAGGAGUAAAGGUUAGAAGUAGAGCACAUUUAUUUUAGACCCUCCAAUUGCAGACCUAGCUGACGUGAUGGGACAGAUCCCCAGCUUUGCUGACCCUUAUUAUAAUGAAUCAGUGAAGCCCACUGGCAGAUGGCCCUUUCUACAUGGGGUUCCAUUUAUUGUUUUUGCAGCUGGUUAAACAGUAAGUCAUAAAGUAGGCCACCGUGCAUCCACAGGAAAGUGAUUAUAGACACAGGGAAAUGUCUUUUUUAGAAAUUUUAACUAGUUUUGUCUGUGCGAAUGAGAAACCUUGAUGAGAAGAUUUUCGACACGACAUUUUUCUGUUGAUGGAUGCAGUGUUAGUGCUGGCCUCUUUAUAGAAACUGCAUUGGUUAUCCAACACCUGGAAAUGCACAAAACAUAAGCUUCUAAAACUUUCUUCCAAUAGCUACAGGAUUUGUCCACAAAAUAAAUAGCUUCAGGUCAUACACUUAGCUUCUCUCUCAUCUUUUUAGGAUAUGUCUCUAGUUCAUACAUGUGUUUUAUUUGAUCUGCAAAUGUUUUUAAAAAACUGAAACAAUAUUUUUAAAUAUGGGGAGUUUUCCCUCAAAUAAAUUUUAAAGAUCACAGACAAAAGCCCAAGUUUUCAUCUUGUCUUGGAAAUUUGGAGACUCGCAAGCAAGGACUCAAAUUCCUGAAUGAGAACGUUGGGUUGAGCUGAGUAACUUCAACUUCUACAGGACUUGUGCUCCCACCCACCCAGCUCACUUCAUUCUUUCCCUAACCUGCUCAGCACUAAAGGCAUUGAGUUUGAGGUCCAGGUCCUAUAUGAUGAAAACACCGUCUUGUGAGCUUUAUUCACCAAUACUAUAAAUGUAAAGAUAAAGUUGUUAUUGGUGUGGCCCAAUAUUCUUUGAAAAUCGGGCUUAAAUAUAGGAGGUUAUAAGAAUAACUUCUCUUUAAUCAAACCCUUACAAAGAAUAUGUGUGCUUUGCUAAAAUAACUCUUUAGCAUACCAGCUGAAAACUUUUCUGUAUUCACCUAUAUACACAUGCCUGUAGAGAGUAGUGGUAUACUUUUUCAACAUAGCUUAUUCAUUUUUAUUAUAACAUCUAGGAAUUGACUAUUUUUGCCAAUCACACAUUUCCAACAUGAGGUAAAAAUGUAAAUGUCUGUAACCCUCAACUUAAAAGUGAUGGGAAAGUUUAGAGAAACUAAACAAAACAUUAAAAAUUGAACUCAACAACAGAAUAAGUAUAAUCUAUAUAAAAGAAGUAACUUUCUGACCAAAGUUCUGGUAGGACAAUUAAUAGUGAUAACAUUUAUAUAUCACUUGCUCUCAUUUAAUCAGCAAAAAAAUCCUAUAAUGUAUAUUGUAUUUUAGUCAUCUAUUGGCGCAUAAAAAAACUACCCCUAGAUUUAGCAGCUUAAAAUAUCAAACAUUUGUUGUCUGAUUAACUGCAAGUAAGACUUAGGAAACCUAUGAGAUUACAAAAUUUAAAUUCCCUACUGUUUAUCCAAAUGGUGCCUUGUGGAAAAUUUCUACUCAUUAUAUACAUAUCCAUGAAAGGAAUGUGAUAUAUGUUAGAUCAGUUUCAAAUAGCAAUAUUAUACCGAAAAUAAGAAUCUUUUCUAUGUGAACUACUUCCACCAUCCACCAUCACUGUUCUCACAGUGAAUUUAUAUCUUUGGAAAGCUGAGCACUUCAUUGUUCAGUUUACUUCUCUUCUUUCUCUUAUUUUACUUUUUUUUUUCUGUUUCCCUUAUCCCCUCUUCAAACAAAACUCAUUUUAAAAUAUGGCUUGAAUUUUAUGAGCCCAAUAUUGCUCUUGGGAUAUUCUACAUGAAUUAGAAAAUAAAAUGCAUCCUAUUUUUAUAGUAGCAUUUUGGAGGAAAUUAAAACCACAGUAUAACAAAAAAUUGAUAAAUUGCUAUUAUAGGCUCUUCCAUAAUGCAAAUAAAAUAGUUACUGCAGUACACAUAGAACAUCUGCUAAUCUAAAUUAAAAUGAAUGAGAAACUAAAUUAGAAUUGCUUUUUCCAUCUAAUCAUAUAGAAGACUAAACAUAUUAUGAACUAGAUAUUCCCAGUGUUUUUAAGACAUUGCCAAUUAGUGAGCUUAGUGCAAUAAAUUGAAGCAAUAACUAAAUAGUAUCUUGGGGACCUGAAGGAGUUAAUGACUGGCCUCCUCACUGCUUAAUUAACAGCUGGGCAGAGCCACCAGGCAUCUCUAAUUUAGUAGUAACAAAAGGUAUAGAUUUACUUUAAAUCCCAAGCCAAUAUUGGUCCUUUUUCUUAGUUGCACUAUUUUAUGCUUGCUUGCUUUAAUUACCUUAUUAUCAAAUUUACUAUCUCAAUAAGCACAUUAUCAACGUAAUUUCAAACUCAUUUUUGAAUUCUGGAUUCUAAACUCUGUAUUACUCCCUAUAAAACAGUGGAAAACAGAAAAUAAUUUUAAAAAUCAUCUCACCAUCAAAAAUUUGAAAGCCUGGCAGAAAAAGACAAAAUAUAAUGUCCAUUUCUUGUUACUUCUAAGGAGUACAGCCCACUACCAGCCUCCCUCUGCUUUCCUGUGGUUCCCCCGUUGACUCACUUAAUUAUCACUGAGAAUGACAAUAUUUGCUUGCUCUUUGUGACCUGGCUUCCUCCCUUUUCUUUCCCCAUUAAAGAAAAAACAAUAUCCUGCUCCCUUCAGUAGCACAUAUAUCAAAAUUGGAGCAAAUCUCAAAAGCUGAAUUAGCAUGACCCCAACCCAAAUAUGACAAAAAAUUACUAAAGUACAUCAUAUUUUUAAAUUGCUAAAAAUCAAGUGAAUAAUCUGUAUUAAUAGGAAUUAUUUUCAAUUGUAACAGGAAACCAAACUAAAUUAUUUAAACCAAUUGUGAGUUAUUUUUCUCAAUUCUUUAAAGGAGCUAUCAAAGAUCCAGUUAGCUUUCUGCUCUAACAUCUCUAGUGUGUAGUCUUUAUCCUUAUGAACACUUCAUGAUACCAAGAGGGCUGCUCCUUCUUUCACUUUGUGUCUAUAUUUCAAGAAGGCAUAAUGAGAAAGAAGAAAUGUAAAAGGCAUGUGCCAACUGAGUUGAAUCUCUUUUAGAAAGCUCUCCUAAAUAUCUCACACAUUAGACCUAAUCUCAUUGUCCAGAGUUGGGUCAUAUGCCCAACUUCAGCUGCAAGAGAGACCAAGAAAUCAACUUUUUAAGAUAUACAUUGCCAUAAAAAAACAAAAUGAGGCUGGGCAUGGUGGUUCCUGCUUGUGA
rnacentral:lncRNA from 1 species